CUCGCAGCUGACUUUAACCAGAACUUGGCCAAAAAUUGCAUAACCAUUUCGCGUUCCGAUUUUCCUGAUAUUUAUUUACACCGGAAUUUCGCACAUAUUUUAUGCCAGUUGUGCUGAGUCGAUGUGCAAUAUUUUUGUACCCUAAAAUUCAAGAACACCGUCUCACGUGAUUUAAAUACCUCAAGCAAACAAAUUUGCAUAUGUGUACAUUGUUGCGAAAUAUGUAGACUAAGUUUUGGUGCACAUCUUAGAUGUGUAGCAUUAUAAAGUGAAAUUUAAAAAUUUGCAAACACUUAUUUAUGCGCAUAUGUGAAAAAUUUGCACAAAGGUGACAAAUAUUAUGUGAAUAUUAAAAAUGACGUUGAAAAACUUACUACUCGGCACGUUAACCUGGGUGAUACUCCUCAUUUUCCUAUCUAUACCAUUAACGAUCCUCAUAAUUUGGAAAGUUGGGGUUAUAAUUGCCGCGAAAAUUUUGCGUCCCGAUUUAUUCCUGCCAAACGCGACCGACUGUAUGUUCUCCAAUGUUGGGAAUGGCUGGGAAAAAUCUACCGUAAAUGUCGGCUUUGUCUGUCAGAUUGACGGAGUCCUAAACGUGGCCGAAGUACGGGAGUUAUUUGUGGUAAAAUUUUUCUCAAAUGGCGUUCCUGCAUAUGACCGGCUCCGUUCGACAAUCGAGAUCUGGGGAAAGUUUGGAUUUUUCAAGAAAUUGGGAGAGGUUGAUGUGAAUAGGAAAAUUUUGGAAAAAACGCUACCUGAAGGGCAAAUCUUGGAGGAUUUCGUGGUUUCUUGGAUGCUGGAAAAAUACGAGGAAAAUUCGUCAUGUUGGGAAAUAAUUGUGGUUGGCUGGGUGGGGUUUGAUAAGACAGUGGUGGGGUUUAAGAUUCAUCACGCUUUUGCCGACGGCUACACGUUGCUCUACAUUUUGGAAAAGCUGACGGGAAAUAGUAGUUCGCCCUAUUUGGUGAAGGAUUUUGAGGACAGUGUUGGGAAGAGGACUCUCCAAAUGUUGGAGGUGCCAAGUCAUCUACCGGGGAAAAUGAAAGGCCCGGGUCCUCAAGGGAGUCCGCUCGCAUGUCAAAGGGUGUACCCGUUUCCCGUUGUCUUCUCAUUCUCAAGGUUGGACCUCGACAUCUUAAAACGGGUCAGGAGGGCGCAUAAUGUGCACUUUUGCUCCAUAAUUUUGUCCCUUUUGGCAACCUCACUUCGGAGAUAUUUACUCGAGGAUAAAGCAGUAUUGGAGUUACCACCUCAUUUAUUCAUGGCUACGACGCUGCCCUGGCCAAAGCAUCCGACAAAAAAUCCAGACAGCCUAGAAAAUGAGAAGAUGUGUAAUCACUUUGUGUCCGCCGUUUUCAAUGCACCCAUCGGAGAAGAAUCACCCCUCGAGAGGCUUCUGCAGAUUGAAAAAACCCUCGUAGAACUACAAGAGUUAGGCGUUACGAAAUUUUUUAAAUUAAUUGUUUUUCCUCUUUUUUGGCUAUUUCCCUCAAUGGGUUUUGGGUCGGAUUAUGGCCUUGCCGGCGGUUACACGGGCACAUUGGGCGGCACUGGAUACACUUUGUUGGGGAAGCCUGUCACGCAAAUCAAUCAAGUCAUGGCACUGCAAGACGUAGACCCAUUUAUGGCAACUAACACGUUUUCAUUCACCCAUUCGAACCUCUUUGAGUUGACCUUGUCCGUAAAUAAGCAACAUUUUGGCGAUAGGGAAGCAGUCGAGAAAAUUUCCAAAGUGUACAUGCCAGAGGAAUUGGCGAAGCUUGGGGCAGACCUAGACCUAAAAUAAUUAUGGCCGACAAAGGGUAUCGCCGAUUUUUGGAGAAUUUUGUUUAAUCUCUACCCCCUCUAAUCUCAUCUUGCAUUAUUUGCAUAGUGAAUACAUAUCAAAGCUGUACUGAUAGGUUGUUUAUAUAAUAAAAAGACCAUUCGAACUUUUAUACACACAAUACAUUUCGGUUAUUUACGUAUGUUAUGUACAUAUUUAUAUUGAAAUAAAAGAUUAAUUGAUGGUAACAUACAUAUA